rnacentral:rRNA from 1 species
AUUUUGAUGGCGACCGGCGGACGGGUGCGUAACACGUAUGUAACCUACCUUUUUCUAGAAAAUAGCCUGAGGAAACUCGGAUUAAUAUUCUAUAAUACAGUAUUUUCGCAUGAAAAUAUUAUUAAAGCAGAAAUGCGGAAAAAGAUGGGCAUGCGCCCGAUUAGUUAGUUGGUGGGGUAAAAGCCUACCAAGACGAUGAUCGGUAGGGGGCCUGAGAGGGUGAUCCCCCACACUGGUACUGAGAUACGGACCAGACUCCUACGGGAGGCAGCAGUGAGGAAUAUUGGUCAAUGGAGGAAACUCUGAACCAGCCACGCCGCGUGCAGGAAGAAUGCCUUAUGGGUUGUAAACUGCUUUUGUUUAGGAAUAAAAAUUUCUACGUGAUAGAAAUUCUGAAGGUACUAGACGAAUAAGUGUCGGCAAACUCCGUGCCAGCAGCCGCGGUAAUACGGAGGACACAAGCGUUAUCCGGAUUUAUUGGGUUUAAAGAGUGCGUAGGCGGUUUAUUAAGUCAGUAGUGAAAUGUUACAGCUUAACUGUUAAAAUGGCUAAUGAUACUGAUAGACUUGAGUUAGAUUGGAGUAACUGGAAUGUGUGGUGUAGCGGUGAAAUGCAUAGAGAUCACACAGAACACCGAUCGCGAAAGCAGGUUACUAAAUUUAUACUGACGCUGAGGCACGAAAGCGUGGGGAGCAAACAGGAUUAGAUACCCUGGUAGUCCACGCCGUAAACGAUGAUCACUAGUCGUUGGAUUUUAUUAUUCAGUGGCUAAGCGAAAGUGAUAAGUGAUCCACCUGGGGAGUACGACCGCAAGGUUGAAACUCAAAGGAAUUGACGGGGGCCCGCACAAGCGGUGGAGCAUGUGGUUUAAUUCGAUGAUACGCGAGGAACCUUACCAAGGUUUAAAUGUACUACGAAUAAGCUAGAAAUAGUUUAGUCUUCGGACGGAGUACAAGAUGCUGCAUGGUUGUCGUCAGCUCGUGCCGUGAGGUGUUGGGUUAAGUCCCUCAACGAGCGCAACCCUCAUUGUUAGUUGCCAACGAAUAAUGUCGGGGACUCUAGCAAGACUGCCGACGUAAGUCGAGAGGAAGGUGGGGACGACGUCAAAUCAUCACGGCUCUUAUAUCUUGGGCUACACACGUGCUACAAUGGUCGGUACAAAGGGUUGCUA